UUUCCGUAGGUGAACCUGCGGAAGGAUCAUUAACGAGUUAGGGUCUUCUAGGCCCGACCUCCCAACCCUAUGUUUAUUGAACCUCUGUUGCUUCGGCGGACCCGCCUCACGGCCGCCGGAGGACCGCUGCAAGGCGUCCUCUGGCCAGCGUCCGCCGAUGGCCAACCACUUAAACUCUGAAUGAAUCGUGUCAUAUGUCUAAGUCUAUGAUUAAAUUAAAGCAAAGCUUUCAACAACGGAUCUCUUGGUUCUG
rnacentral:misc_RNA from 1 species